UUUCCUCCGGUGCACAAGCGUUGCGUGAAAGUGGCCAUUUUUGGCUUUUGGGUGUACAUACAAUUUUAGUGAGGUUUCUACGCACACUUUUAUAAAUGAGACGCCUGGUGUGUACUGGUUACCCAAACGCCUGUCUGAACGGGUACGUCUUUAGCUGGCUUUUGAAAACAUCCACAGGAUCAGCAGACGGUCGUGGGAAGAGCAUUCCAAAGGUGCAACGUCAUCAAAAGCUUGAUCGCCACGGGUCUUAAUACCUUUGUUUGAAGUCUCCAUACUGGAUCCUGUUGGGGAAUCCCUUCCUGCAGAUCCUGAUGCCUUCCAGCACACCAUUACAGCGUAGCUGGUGCAUGACCAGAGGAUUCUCCAUCGCCCCAGGAGUCUUGGUCUCAUUGGGGAUGAUGCAGCGUACAAAGUGGGGGGCCUUAACAUGCCACUUGAGAAGCUCUUCAAAUGUCACUAAUUCACACCUCGGGUGACAGGACAGGACAGCAGAGGACAGCAGGUCAACUUCCAGUGCUGUCUAGGAUGUAUUUCUCAGCUGUCUGCUUGUCUCUUUGCAGUCGUGACAAGACAGGCUUCAGACAGACAUUCCUGUCUGUUGGAGGUGGGCUGUACUUGACUUUGGAUGGGUCAUUUUGCCAUCACAUGAAUGAUGGUCUCACUUUAGUCCAUUCUCCUGACCUCUUUCUGGUCAAACAUUUGAAAAAAAAUACUCAAUUAAAGUCAUGUACGAUGCGCUCACAAGUUAGUAUUAAAUUAGGUUGUAGUGUUUUUGUCUUGCAGUUCCAGAGUUUGAAUAAAUUUGAUUACAGGAUACUUUAUUCACUUUACAUGGAAAGUUAGAUGAGAAGAAUGACUUUCAUAUCUGUCCAUUAAAUAAGGCUAUACCACCAGCAGCUAAGUUUAGCAUAAACAGGGAGAAACAGCUAGACAUCUGGCAAUGUCCAAAGGUAACAAAAUGCACCUAUCAGCACAGCUCACCAAUAACACGUGCUGUCUAAUCCAUACAAAAGUGUAAAAACACAAGCGCUUAUGGAGCAGCUGUCAGGCAACUAACAGAGACUCCAAGACGUAAGAGUUUAAUUAUGUUAUAUCUUUACACUUACAGAUUAGACAGACGAGAUAACAUGUUAAUUAGUAAGCGUAAGAGGUGCUGGUAGGCGGAUUUUGUAAGCUAGUUUAGCUGUGCUAAGCUAAGUGGUAGCUGGCUGUAUCUUAAUAUUUAGCAUACAAACAAAACAAAACACUGUCAAUCUUUUCAUCUAACUUUCAGCAAGGAAGCAAACAAACCUAUAUUGGUAAAUCAAAAGCUUUGGCUUCUGGCUCAGCUCCCUCUACACCACAAGGGUUCAGUACCACAACCGCAUUUCUGCUGACGCCACACCAGUUGGCCUGUACCUCUACUCUCCAUUUUGCUGUCCAUCAUGAACAAGAUCCCGAGAAACUUAAACUCCUUCACUUGAGCCAGCAACUCACUCCCAACCCGGAGAACCGUGACAUCAGACUUGGAGGUGCUGACCAUCAUCCCAACCACUUCCCACUCGGCUGCAAAAAAAGAUGUCCAGAGUUCAGCUCCUUUCAAGGCUGGAUUACCAAGUCCGCUCAGGGGACCCAAAGACUCCAGGUUCUCUAUGUGGCAAUUAGUUUUUUGCAAUCAAAUUAAUUCCCUAAUCAAAGCUUCAGAGAGGAAGUUUCGUUUGGCCUUUAUUGUGCAUUUUUCAAGUUACGUUACAACAAAAUUAUUACUAAUAUUUACAAAUGCGCAGAGAAUGGGAGAAACAGAGGGUCAACAGGGGCCCAUAGCUAAUUUUUGCCCAGAGUCCCCCUAGUGGAUUAAUCCUGCCCUGGCUCCCCUUUGUGUAGGCUGAACCUGUCUCUGUUGCAGAUCAUCAGGACCCUGAGGAUUUGACAUCCAAAACAUAUUUUUAUAGCCUUGCUUCUCUGUUUUCUUUUUUAUCCCUGUACUUUUAGUCUAGUUCACAGUAUUUGUAGAGCUCAGCAUCACACACAAUGCUUCACUGGACUUUAUAGGCUUUACUUUACUUUACAGGCUGGACUUUACAGUAACCUAAGAAUAAGUUCCUGACGCAGCAUGUACUCUACAGAAUGAAGAGAAAAGUUAAUAAAUAAAUUAAUUCAUAUUGAAUUUCUUUCUGAUAAAUGCUUAAAGUUAAAAGUUCAUCAAUUUACAAAAAAAAAAAAAAGGUUCUGUUUGCAUUAACUGGUGCUGUGGCCUGCCUCACAGAAACAAACUAUUUACUAUUAACUAUUUACAGAAUUUCAACUUAUUUAAUAGGUUUGUGUUUUGUCAGAUGUUUUAUCAGUUUUUACACUAAAAUAGUGUAAAAAACUAAAACAGAUUUUAGCCGUAUUAUUAACAUUUGGAAUGACAAAUGAACUUGAACUUGAUGUGGAGUGCAGCGGAGUGGAUCAUGUCCAGAAGUGUUGAGUGGACUAGCUGUUGCCAUCCUUCACCGUGACAAUGAGGUGUAACCCGACUCUUCUUUGCUGACCAUUGUCUCCUUCCUUUUGUCCUUGAGGACAAAGAUAACUCGCUGACAUUCACACUAAGUGCCUUUAUUUGAUCUGAAGCUUGCAAGGUACAUUUGGAUCUGUGGGUUAAAUAGCAACACGUGCCCUGCCUACAUACUGCAUGUCUGAUCACUGCUACGCUUUUUACUCUUUGCCUACACUGUCAGAUACAGGUCUUUUAUAGCUCAUGUGACUAAUGUGCUUUUGGUUAUGGAUAACAUUUCUAGUCUCACUGAUUCUAUUUAGAGCUUGAAAGGUGUCAAAGAAUGUGUAAAAUUGAUUAUAAUUGAACUGUUUCUGUAGUAGUUGUACAAAAAUAUCACUUUGUUUGCCUGCUACACUCUGUACUUAAUUUGCAGCAAAGCUUUAUUAGACUAUUCUUAUAUGUAUUCCUGUAUGUAUCUGAAAUUCUGUUAAAAAUGUAUUGUAUAGUGUUCAGGUGUCAGACGUUCCGAUUAGGAAGUUAUGACUCUAAGUACACAGAGACUGUAUGUUAUUUCUGGUCAGUGAGGGAUAUUACUGCACUGUGAGGGAUAUCAUGCACUGUUUAAAGAUCAUUAUGAGCUAAGAUAUAACAUAAUUCCAUCUUAAAGGUUACAACAGUACUUUUAUUUUCCAAUGGCAUUAUUGUCUCUGUACUUGCUGUGUGUUUAAUGUUACAGACAGGUCUCAUGUAGAUAAACUUACCAGCUGUCUCAGAGGUAAAGUUUUAAUCUGGACUGAAAAUGUAAUACCUGUGUGGUCCAAAUCUAAAAAUAGAUCCAUCUUAACAACAUUUCCAAAAACGUAUGUUUUUGUAAACCAAAAUUCAUCAUAUAUAAUGAAUAAACUGGAAAUUAUG